CGCCGCAGGAGCUGCGAGGUGCUGGUCCGCGGGGGCGCGCGGGCCGCAGAGGUGGCGGAGGCAACGGUGGGGCGAACGCGGUGCCGCGCUGGCCGAGAGUGAUGUCUGUUGAUGGAAUAGCUGGGAAGCAACAAAAUCAGGAAACGUGGCUCAGUCCAUAAUUUAGGUAGGACCUCUCGGAGGAAAGACUGUAUGAGAACAAAACAGCCAUCUGCAAGCCGGGAAGAGAGACCUCAGCAGAACCAAAUCCUGCCAGAAACUGGAUCUUGGACUUUGUAGUCUCCACAAAUGUGAGAACAUAAAUCUCCCCUGUUUAAGCCAUUCAGUCUGUGUUCGUUUGUUAUGGCAGCCCAAGCAGACUAAUACACGUCCCAAGACCACACUUCGAGCAAUCAGCACUCUACAAGAGAGGUAAAACAGGUGUGGUCUGCAAUCCAGCAGCAUCUGCUUCAUGGGGAGCUUGUCAGAAAUUCAGAAUCUGGAGCCCUGCUCCAGACCUCCAGAAUGAGUUAUUCUCAUUUUAACAACAUCCUCAAGUGGUUCCAGGUAUGCAGAUUAAAACUGGAGCAGUGCUGCUCACAGACAGUUCAUGCUGUGUUUACCUCAGUCUCCUUGGAAGCACCCACUGGCAUGAAAGGAGACUCCUGUUAAAAUUACAACCAAUUCACUUGCCUCCUAAUGAGACAAACCCAUUUUUACUUUUGUGCCAGUCCCUACUCAAAUGGAUGGAAUUGUUUACUGCCUCAAUAGCUUUCAAGCAGCCAAUAUCCACAACCUAGAUCAUCUGACUAUAUUUGCAAAUUGCUUUGCGGUUCUUGAUCUCUCGUGAGAGAGAUCUACUUUGCGAUUUUCACAUUAAAGGGGAUCUUCACAGGCCAUGAAGAUAAAAAAUGAGGUAACCAUUUUAGGGCAGGAGGGUUCAUUCUAACAUUCCUGUAGAAUUUCUAUAUUCAGUAGCUGAUUUGGUCUUUACAACUCUGAAAGGUAGACAGGUCAGGUUUAAUUAUCCCCAUUUUUCAGAUGAAGAAACUAAAGCCCAUGGAAAGUAAGUGACUUACUCAAAUUUUCACAAGGAGCAUAGGAUGCAGCCAGGACCCAAACCUUCAUCAUCUGACAUCUUUCAGCACUUGGGGCUAUAAGCCUUGCCAAGUUUAUAUAAGCUGGAGUUCUGCCAAAUGAACUGUAAUUCUCGAGACACCAACAUUCUGAUUUGCCUUGCAACUUCGUCUUGCAGGAUAAGUCCAUAUUAUAAAGUUAUUAUAUUGCUUAGCUGCAUUUCCUGUCUUGGGAACUUCAGGAAAUCCAGUGGCUACAUUCUCUAUAUGGCAAGCGAAGUGAUUAGGGGAUUUGCUCUGGAAUGGAGAUUUAAUUAAACCAGAGAGCUCAGCAACUAUUUAAAGCUAAUAUCCUUAAUGAAGUUCAUGCUAAAGAGGUUUUACCUAAAUUCCCUAUCCCUAGGUUCUGUAUUUGAACUGUAUGUUCUAAUUGGGAAAUAGCUUCAUUAAA